UGGAUCGGUUCACUCUGAGCAGAGAGAUGGUGUAUAAUGUCUUCAGACAGUCUCUCUAUGACCAAGACCCUGAGCUCAACAACCCACUGUAUAUACACCCAGCUUCACUGGACAUGCAGGUUGGCUCAGUGACUAGUGAGAGCAGAAGUGGCGUGCUCUAUUGGUGACGACUACGCAAUACUCUGGGGAGUUUCCCAGCAAAGAGAUUUGAGCAGAACAAGGGACCUGUCUGAUUGAUGGAAUAUCUGACGGAUACGUAGACCCCAUGGACCAACCCAGACACACAAUGAAAUCCUGUGAAACUGGAUCACUACUGCUGUGCCAGUGGCGUGUACAACCUGACAGACUGUAUGACAAAUAGACACUGAUGACACUUUUCUGCUUAUUCCAAUCAUUCCAUCUAUCUCAAGUAGUCAAGAGAAUGGAAAGGCCUAAGUGUACUUUUGGAAUGAGGAUAAUGGGGUGUUGACAUUAAGUGUUUGUACGCGGUGAAUUGUUUUUUUGUGUCAGUGUCAAAGUGGAUUAACAAUGUCAUCUUUUUAUCCAAGAUGUUUUUAUCCAAGAUGUUUUUAUCCAAGAUGUCCUUAUCCAAGAUGUUUUUAUCCAAGAUGUUUUUAUCCAAGAUGUUUUUAUCCAAGAUGUUUUUAUCGGUUGUAAUAUGACUUCCUGAUACCUACUCUAUAGUCUAUAUAUCAUGUCUGAGAGGACUAACUAUUCCAAUUUGAGGCAUUGCUUCAAUCUCUAUAUUCUUUUACAUUUUACAUGAAUUGAUUGGAAACUGUAUUUUGUAAUUUUGUGAAAUAAAUGUUGUUGUUUUUUUAUUGUACUCUGCAAGGAGUUGUCCUAGUUAGCAACGGGGUUGUCCUAGUUAGCAACGGGGUUGUCCUAGUUAGCAACUACUGUCUCUAAUGUCCCUACUGUCUCUAAUGUCCCUACUGUCUCAAAUCAAAUCAAAUGUAUUUAUGUGGGGUGGCCAGUCCUCUUCUGGCUGUGCUGGGUGGAGAUUAUAACAGAACAUGGCCAAGAUGUUCAAAUGUUCAUAAAUGACCAGCAGGGUCAAAUAAUAAUCACAGGCAGAACAGUUGAAACUGGAGCAGCAGCACGGCCAGGUGGACUGGGGACAGCAAGGAGUCAUCAUGUCAGGUAGUCCUGAGGCAUGGUCCUAGGGCUCAGGUCAGUUGAAACUGGAGCAGCAGCACGGCCAGGUGGACUGGGGACAGCAAGGAGUCAUCAUGCCCGGUAGUCCUGAGUCAUGAUCCUAGGGCUCAGGUCCUCUGAGAGAGAGAAAGAAAGAGAGAAUUAGAGAGCAGACUUAAGUUCACACAGGACACCGGAUAAGACAGGAGAAGUACUCCAGAUAUAACAAACUGACCCUAGCCCCGACACAAUCUACUGCAGCAUAAAUACUGGAGGCUGAGACAGGAGGGGUCAGGAGACACUGUGGCCCCAUCCAAUGAUACUCCCGGACAGGGCC